GACGAACGCUGGCGGCGUGCUUAACACAUGCAAGUCGAACGAUGAAGCCGGAGCUUGCUCUGGUGAAUUAGUGGCGAACGGGUGAGUAACACGUGAGUAACCUGCCCUUGACUCUGGGAUAACUGCGGGAAACUGUAGCUAAUACCGGAUACGACCCUCGGAGGCAUCUCCUGGGGGUGGAAAGAAUUUCGGUCAAGGAUGGACUCGCGGCCUAUCAGCUAGUGGUGAGGUAAAGGCUGACCAAGGCGACGACGGGUAGCCGGCCUGAGAGGGUGACCGGCCACGCUGGGACUGAGACACGGCCCAGACUCCUACGGGAGGCAGCAGUGGGGAAUAUUGCACAAUGGGCGCAAGCCUGAUGCAGCAACGCCGCGUGAGGGAUGACGGCCUUCGGGUUGUAAACCUCUUUUAGCAGGGAAGAAGCGAAAGUGACGGUACCUGCAGAAAAAGCACCGGCUAACUACGUGCCAGCCGCCGCGGUAC
rnacentral:rRNA from 1 species